AGAGUUUGAUCAUGGCUCAGAUUGAACGCUGGCGGCAGGCCUAACACAUGCAAGUCGAACGGUAACAGGAAGCAGCUUGCUGCUUCGCUGACGAGUGGCGGACGGGUGAGUAAUGUCUGGGAAACUGCCUGAUGGAGGGGGAUAACUACUGGAAACGGUAGCUAAUACCGCAUAACGUCGCAAGACCAAAGAGGGGGACCUUCGGGCCUCUUGCCAUCGGAUGUGCCCAGAUGGGAUUAGCUUGUUGGUGGGGUAACGGCUCACCAAGGCGACGAUCCCUAGCUGGUCUGAGAGGAUGACCAGCCACACUGGAACUGAGACACGGUCCAGACUCCUACGGGAGGCAGCAGUGGGGAAUAUUGCACAAUGGGCGCAAGCCUGAUGCAGCCAUGCCGCGUGUAUGAAGAAGGCCUUCGGGUUGUAAAGUACUUUCAGCGGGGAGGAAGGGAGUAAAGUUAAUACCUUUGCUCAUUGACGUUACCCGCAGAAGAAGCACCGGCUAACUCCGUGCCAGCAGCCGCGGUAAUACGGAGGGUGCAAGCGUUAAUCGGAAUUACUGGGCGUAAAGCGCACGCAGGCGGUUUGUUAAGUCAGAUGUGAAAUCCCCGGGCUCAACCUGGGAACUGCAUCUGAUACUGGCAAGCUUGAGUCUCGUAGAGGGGGGUAGAAUUCCAGGUGUAGCGGUGAAAUGCGUAGAGAUCUGGAGGAAUACCGGUGGCGAAGGCGGCCCCCUGGACGAAGACUGACGCUCAGGUGCGAAAGCGUGGGGAGCAAAACAGGAUUAGAUACCCUGGUAGUCCACGCCGUAAACGAUGUCGACUUGGAGGUUGUGCCCUUGAGGCGUGGCUUCCGGAGCUAACGCGUUAAGUCGACCGCCUGGGGAGUACGGCCGCAAGGUUAAAACUCAAAUGAAUUGACGGGGGCCCGCACAAGCGGUGGAGCAUGUGGUUUAAUUCGAUGCAACGCGAAGAACCUUACCUGGUCUUGACAUCCACAGAACUUUCCAGAGAUGGAUUGGUGCCUUCGGGAACUGUGAGACAGGUGCUGCAUGGCUGUCGUCAGCUCGUGUUGUGAAAUGUUGGGUUAAGUCCCGCAACGAGCGCAACCCUUAUCCUUUGUUGCCAGCGGUCCGGCCGGGAACUCAAAGGAGACUGCCAGUGAUAAACUGGAGGAAGGUGGGGAUGACGUCAAGUCAUCAUGGCCCUUACGACCAGGGCUACACACGUGCUACAAUGGCGCAUACAAAGAGAAGCGACCUCGCGAGAGCAAGCGGACCUCAUAAAGUGCGUCGUAGUCCGGAUUGGAGUCUGCAACUCGACUCCAUGAAGUCGGAAUCGCUAGUAAUCGUGGAUCAGAAUGCCACGGUGAAUACGUUCCCGGGCCUUGUACACACCGCCCGUCACACCAUGGGAGUGGGUUGCAAAAGAAGUAGGUAGCUUAACCUUCGGGAGGGCGCUUACCACUUUGUGAUUCAUGACUGGGGUGAAGUCGUAACAAGGUAACCGUAGGGGAACCUGCGGUUG
rnacentral:rRNA from 1 species